CUUGGGAUACCUACUAGGGAAAGGUAAUUUAAUUAAUUGUUAUAUAAUAAAUGCACUAAUCAAAAAGAUACAGAAACAUCACAUACCUACUUAUAUUAUAUCAACGUCAUCUAGGCGCGCUGGAAGCAACAGUUAUUUCCGCUAUGGAAGCCGCCUAAGUCGCCACCGCCCGCCCCGCCGCCCGCAUACGAAACCGCCCCGCCGCUCCAUUGACCGCUGUUGCUCCACUGACUGCUGUAGCCACCGCUGACUGCUGUAGCCACCGCUGACUGCUGUAGCUACUCUUCCGCAUACUUCGGACUCUUCCGCCUACGAUCACACCCUAUAUUGAACACUGAAAGCUUAGUUUCCAAGAAAAUUUAUUCCAAGUAUGAACUGGGAAGCUAAACACAGUGUCUAUAAAGCCCGUCACAGACUUAGUGUUAAGUAAGUUAGUGUUAAGUUGUUAGUAAGUUAGUGUUAAGUUAAGUUACUAUAGAAACCUCAGAAUGGAAAUAGAAAGACUUAUAAAACGAUUUCAGUUUGUAUUUUUGUAUUUAACAAAUUUUCUUUUAAAAAUAAAAAAAAUAAAAAUUCAUUUUUAACAAAUAGGUACUUAGGCAAAAGUUUGCGGGGCAUUAGACCGGAAACAUCAGUCAAUUUACGCAGUAUUCAAUUACAUGAUCUUAUGCUAUCGCCCCACUUGGCUAUUCGUAUCUGCCAAAACUUCUAUUGGCUAUAUUUGUGAAAUAAGCAUUUCAUAGGCAAAUUCGGCAUUCGAUUAUGUACACUAAACUUCUCUCCUCUCAGCCUAUCGCACUACCAACCACUUUCUCGACAUCACCAAAGGUU